rnacentral:tRNA from 1 species
ACCUGGCUGGCUCAGUUGGGAGAGCAUGCAACUCUUGAUCUCGGGGUCAUGAGUUCGAGUCCCAUGUUGGGUA